rnacentral:ncRNA from 1 species
ACGCGCAUGAAUGGAUUAACGAGAUUCCCACUGUCCCUAUCUACUAUCUAGCGAAACCAUAGCCAAGGGAACGGGCUUGGCAGAAUCAGUGGGGAAAGAAGACCCUGUAUUAAAAUAUCUACCUCGAAACCAAAAUUGGUUCUUAUCCAUCAUCCAGCUCGUCUUUUUGCCUAGUGCUCCCUUCUGU